rnacentral:rRNA from 1 species
GAUAAACGCUGGCGGCGUGCCUAAUACAUGCAAGUCGAGCGAACAGAUAAGGAGCUUGCUCCUUUGACGUUAGCGGCGGACGGGUGAGUAACACGUGGAUAACCUACCUAUAAGACUGGGAUAACUUCGGGAAACCGGAGCUAAUACCGGAUAACAUAUUGAACCGCAUGGUUCAAUAGUGAAAGGCGGCUUUGCUGUCACUUAUAGAUGGAUCCGCGCCGUAUUAGCUAGUUGGUAAGGUAACGGCUUACCAAGGCAACGAUACGUAGCCGACCUGAGAGGGUGAUCGGCCACACUGGAACUGAGACACGGUCCAGACUCCUACGGGAGGCAGCAGUAGGGAAUCUUCCGCAAUGGGCGAAAGCCUGACGGAGCAACGCCGCGUGAGUGAUGAAGGUCUUCGGAUCGUAAAACUCUGUUAUCAGGGAAGAACAAAUGUGUAAGUAACUGUGCACAUCUUGACGGUACCUGAUCAGAAAGCCACGGCUAACUACGUG